rnacentral:rRNA from 1 species
GCCUGAACUGAAACAUCUAAGUAGGGCGAGGAAGAGACAUCAAACGAGAUUCCGUAAGUAGUGGCGAGCGAACGCGGAAGAGGGCAAACCGAAGGUAGAAAUACCUUCGGGGUACGGAGCGCAUUUAAGACUCAAGUUGUUAACCGAACGGCAUGGGAAGGCCGGUCAGAGAGUGUGAGAACCACGUAGGUGAAAACGGAAAGAGCUGCGCAGAUUCCAGAGUACGGCCAGACACGUGAAACCUGGUCGGAAGAUGGGGGGACCACCCUCCAACCCUAAAUACUACCCAGUGACCGAUAGCGUAUAGUACUGUGAAGGAAAGGUGAAAAGCACCCCGGGAGGGGAGUGAAAAAGAACCUGAAACCCUGUGCCUACAAGCACCUAGAGCGCGUCAAUGCGUGAUAGGGUACUUUUUGUAGAACGGUCCGGCGAGCGAUUGUAUGCAGCAAGGUUAAGGACUUAAGGUCUGGAGCCGAAGCGAAAGCGAGUUUGAAAAGGGCGUUAAGUUGCAUAUAAUGGGCCCGAAACCGGGUGACCUACCCAUGGUCAGGUUGAAGUGGAAGUAAAAUUCCAUGGAGGACCGAACCGACCUCCGUUGAAAAGGCGGCGGAUGAACUGUGGGUAGCGGAGAAAUUCCAAUCGAACCCGGAGAUAGCUGGUUCUCCCCGAAAUAGUUUUAGGACUAGCCUCAAGUUAGAUACCUGGAGGUAAAGCACUGAAUAGCCUAGCGGCCGAGAGGUUAGCGAAGCUUAUCAAACUCAGAAUGCCAGAGUAUUGAUGCUUGGGAGUCAGACAGUGUCAGAUAAAUGUCAUUGUCAAAAGGGAAACAGCCCAGAUCUACAGCUAAGGUCCCAAAGUCAGGUUAAGUGGAAAACGAUGUGAAGAUACGCAGACAACCAGGAUGUUGGCUCAGAAGCAGCCACUCAUUCAAAGAGUGCGUAAUAGCUCACUGGUCGAGCGUCUUUGCGCGGAGAAUUUAACGGGGCUAAACCUGACACCGAAGCUUAGGCAAUCCAGCAAUGGAUUGGGUAGGGGAGCGUUGUAUACGCGGAGAAACAGUAGCGUAAGCGGCUGUGGAGUGUAUAGAAGUGAGAAUGCCGGAAUGAGUAGCGCGAAUGCAGUGAGAAUCUGCAUGGCCGAAAGCCUCAGGUUUUUGGAGGAAGGUUCGUCCGCUCCAAGUUAGUCGGGAGCUAAGGUGAGGCCGGAAGGCGUAGCCGAUGCACAGACGGUAGAGAUUCCGUCACCACCAAAAGAGUUAAGCACAGGGACACAUUUGAAGUCUCAGAGCCGGGUGUUGGUUCCGGUAGAGAUCGAGGGAAGUUAGUACCGAAGUCUGGGAUGGAGGAUGGCGAGAAAAGCUGUGUGUAUUUCUGAGGUGCCCGUACCGCAAACCGACACAGGUAGGUAGGAAGAAGAUUCUAAGGCCAACGGGAGAAGGGUUGUUAAGGAACUCGGCAAAUUGACCCCGUAACUUCGGGAGAAGGGGUGCUCCAGAGAUGGAGCCGCAGAGAAUCGGCCCAAGCAACUGUUUACCAAAAACACAGGUUUGUGCUAAAUCGAAAGAUGACGUAUACGAGCUGACGCCUGCCCGGUGCUGGAAGGUUAAGAGGAGAUGUGCAAGCAUUGAAUCGAAGCCCCAGUGAACGGCGGCCGUAACUAUAACGGUCCUAAGGUAGCGAAAUUCCUUGUCAGGUAAG